UAUUAUAAAUAAUUUAUUUAUUUUAUUUUGAUUAUUAUUUUUAAAUUAAUAAAAUUAAAUAAUUUGGUAGUAUUUAUAAAAAUUAGAGGAUUUUGUUAAUUAAUUGAUAAUCCACAAUAAAAUUUAUUUAAAUUAAAAUUAAAUUAUAUAUUGUUGUAUUAAAAUUAUUUAUAAAUAAAAUUUUUAUAAAAAUUCAACUUUAAAUUUCAAAUCAUAAUAUAUUAAAUAUUUAAAAUUAUAAUGAAAUACUAUAUUUAUAAAUUUAUGAAAUUUUAUUUGUUAUAUUAAUAUUAAAUUGGAUUUAAAAUUAAAAUAAAAUAAAUAUUUUAUUUAAAUUAAAUUUUAAAUAUGCACAUAUUGCCCGUCGUUUUUAAUUUUUAUUAAAAUAA
rnacentral:rRNA from 1 species